AUUGAACGCUGGCGGAAUGCUUUACACAUGCAAGUCGAGCGGCAGCGCGGGGCAACCUGGCGGCGAGCGGCGAACGGGUGAGUAAUGCAUCGGAACGUACCCAGUCGUGGGGGAUAACUGUCCGAAAGGACAGCUAAUACCGCAUACGUCCUGAGGGAGAAAGCGGGGGAUCGCAAGACCUCGCGCGAUUGGAGCGGCCGAUGCCGGAUUAGCUAGUUGGUAGGGUAAAGGCCUACCAAGGCGACGAUCCGUAGCUGGUCUGAGAGGACGACCAGCCACACUGGAACUGAGACACGGUCCAGACUCCUACGGGAGGCAGCAGUGGGGAAUUUUGGACAAUGGGGGCAACCCUGAUCCAGCCAUUCCGCGUGAGUGAAGAAGGCCUCGGUUGU
rnacentral:rRNA from 1 species